AACGAACGCUGGCGGCAUGCCUAACACAUGCAAGUCGAACGCGUGUAGCAAUACACGAGUGGCGGACGGGUGAGUAACGCGUGGGAACCUGCCCAAUGGUAGGGAAUAACUGCGGGAAACUGCAGCUAAUACCCUAUGCUCCCUACGGGGGAAAGAUUUAUCGCCAUUGGAGGGGCCCGCGUCGGAUUAGCUAGUUGGCGGGGUAACGGCCCACCAAGGCUACGAUCCGUAGCUGGUCGAGAGGAUGAUCAGCCACACUGGGACUGAGAUACGGCCCAGACUCCUACGGGAGGCAGCAGUGGGGAAUAUUGGACAAUGGGCGCAAGCCUGAUCCAGCGAUGCCGCGUGUGUGAAGAAGGCCUGCGGGUUGUAAAGCACUUUCAGU
rnacentral:rRNA from 1 species